rnacentral:RNase_P_RNA from 1 species
GCGGAUGGCCGGAUGGCCGCGGCCCGAAAGGGGCGAGGAAAGUCCGGACUCCACAAGGCAACGGUGCCGGGUAACGCCCGGCGGGGGCAACCCCAGGGAAAGCGCCACAGAAAACAGACCGCUUUGAGCAAUCAGAGUAAGGGUGAAACGGUGGGGUAAGAGCCCACCGCGCUUCUGGCAACAGCGGCGGCACGGCAAGCCCCACCGGGAGCAAUGCCAAAUAGGGACCUCGCAUGGGCCGCCUUGGCCCGGGGUCCGGGUCGGCAGCUUGAGCACGCGGGCAACCGCGCGCCUAGAGGAAUGGUCAUCCAAGGGGGAAACCCCGGGACAAAAUCCGGCUUACAGGCCGUCCGCGCAU